UACGUAGGGGGCUAGCGUUGUCCGGAUUUAUUGGGCGUAAAGAGCGUGUAGGCGGCCAGGUAUGUCUGGUGUGAAAACUCGAGGCUUAACCUCGAGAUGUCAUCGGAAACCAUCUGGCUAGAGUCCGGAAGAGGAGAGUGGAAUUCCUGGUGUAGCGGUGAAAUGCGCAGAUAUCAGGAAGAACACCAAGGGCGAAAGCAGCUCGCUGGGAGGGUACUGACGCUGAGAAGCGAAAGCGUGGGGAGAGAACAGG
rnacentral:rRNA from 1 species